AACGAACGCUGGCGGCAUGCCUAACACAUGCAAGUCGAACGAGACCUUCGGGUCUAGGGGCGCACGGGUGCGUAACGCGUGGGAACCUGCCCUUAGGUUCGGAAUAACUCCCCGAAAGGGGUGCUAAUACCGGAUAAGGUCUUCGGACCAAAGAUUUAUCGCCUUUGGAUGGGCCCGCGUUGGAUUAGCUAGUUGGUAGGGUAAAAGCCUACCAAGGCGACGAUCCAUAGCUGGUAAGAGAGGAUGAUCAGCCACACUGGGACUGGGACGCGGCCCGGACUCCUACGCGAAGCGCGAGUGCCGGAUGGUGCAACGUCGCCUAAGGCAUGAACCACCUCUGACGCGAGAGUGCUGUAGGUAUUAGAGUAGUAAAGUUCUUUUAACCGUGAUGAUAAUGACGGUACCGGGACAAAAAGCCCCGGCUAACUCCGUG
rnacentral:rRNA from 1 species